rnacentral:misc_RNA from 1 species
GUGCAUUAUGGGAGUUUUCAGACAAGAUGAGUCUGACAUGAGUUCUCUCUUUCUCUCUCUCUAUUUUAAAAAAAGGUUUGUAGAACCUUUAACAAGCCAAAGUCUUUGUCUGCAAUUAGGUUUGGAGAAAAUGGAUGAAAUACCAUUAUAAUUGCUUCUAGAAAUAACAAUAUUAUCCACAUAGACUAAGAGAUCAUCUUUCUUUCCCUGACUCUCAUAAAUAGGUGAG